rnacentral:rRNA from 1 species
AGUAGAGUCUCAGGUGGUAUCUAUCUGGGAGACGAUGUUCAGAAUGCUGCGGUGACUACUGACGAAACGGCUUUAAACGGCCCGUCUUGAAACACGGACCAAGGAGUCUAACAUAUAUGCGAGUAUUUGGGUGGCAAACCCGAAUGCGAAAUGAAAGUGAGUACGAAUGGGAUCCCUUUUUUGGGCGCACCAUUGACCGAUCUUGAUAUCUCUUGAUAGAUUUGAGUUAGAGCAUAUCUGUUGGGACCCGAAAGAUGGUGAACUAUGCCUGGAUAGGAUGAAGCCAGAGGAAACUCUGGUGGAGGUCCGAAGCCGUUCUGACGUGCAAAUCGAUGGUCAAAUCUGGGUAUAGGGGCGAAAGACUAAUCGAACCAUCUAGUAGCUGGUUCCCUCCGAAGUUUCCCUCAGGAUAGCUGGAGCUCGUUAAACAGUUUUAUCAGGUAAAGCGAAUGAUUAGAGGCCUUGGGGAAGUAACUUCCUUAACCUAUUCUCAAACUUUAAAUGGGUAAGACAUCCGUAGUUGCUUAAUUGAACUCGGAUAUAGAAUGUGAGCUCUUAGUGGGCCAUUUUUGGUAAGCAGAACUGGCGAUGCGGGAUGAACCGAUCGUUGAGUUAAGGUGCCUAAAUGCACGCUCAUCAGACACCACAAAAGGUGUUGGUUCAUCUAG